GACAAUUAAAAGCAACAAUGUGCCGAAUGACUGCUAAAUGAUUGUUGUUGUUUUUGCCACAGAAUAGCAGCUUCCCAUAAGGCGAGUCAACAAGGAACAUGUCCACUCAGGUUGGGUACACCCUGGACUGGUUACCAGCAAAUUGCAGGCCGCUUCCCUUCUCUCCCUCCCUCACCUGCGCGGAGAGGUAGCAAGAUGGCGAUGAGCGAACUAAAGCUGUUGCUUUAGAGUAUUUUGCAUCCACCAACCAGGACAGGUCCUGAGGAGGAACACCUACGGCGCUUCAUCUCAUCAAACAUGCUGCUAAAUCCAACAUUGUAUUGCAUCAUAUCAUGUGAUUAAUAUUGUCCACUCUGCAUCCAUCGCAGCCUCGUC